GACGAACGCUGGCGGCGUGCUUAACACAUGCAAGUCGAGCGGUAAGGCCCUUUCGGGGGUACACGAGCGGCGAACGGGUGAGUAACACGUGGGUGACCUGCCCUCAGCUCUGGGAUAAGCCUGGGAAACCGGGUCUAAUACCGGAUAUGACUCCAUGACGCAUGUUGUGGGGUGGAAAGCCUUGUGCGGCUGAGGAUGGGCCCGCGGCCUAUCAGCUUGUUGGUGGGGUGAUGGCCUACCAAGGCGACGACGGGUAGCCGGCCUGAGAGGGCGACCGGCCACACUGGGACUGAGACACGGCCCAGACUCCUACGGGAGGCAGCAGUGGGGAAUAUUGGACAAUGGCGCAAGCCUGAUCCAGCGAUGCCGCGUGUGUGAAGAAGGCCUGCGGGUGUAAAGCACUUUCAGUAGGAAGAAAGCCGAGUGCUAAUAUCAUUCGGUCUUGACGUUACUUACAGAAGAAGCA
rnacentral:rRNA from 1 species